GAUGAAGAACGCAGCGAAAUGCGAUAAGUAAUGUGAAUUGCAGAAUUCCGUGAAUCAUCGAAUCUUUGAACGCACAUUGCGCCCGCCAGCAUUCUGGCGGGCAUGCCUGUUCGAGCGUCAUUUCAACCCUCGACUUCCCUUUGGGGAAAUCGGCGUUGGGGACCGGCUGUAUACCGCCGGCCCCGAAAUGAAGUGGCGGCCCGUCCGCGGCGACCUCUGCGUAGUAAUCCAACUCGCACCGGAACCCCGACGUGGCCACGCCGUAAAACCCCCGACUUCUGAACGUUGACCUCGGAUCAGGUAGGAAUACCCGCUGAACUUAAGCAUAUCAAUAAGCGGAGGA
rnacentral:misc_RNA from 1 species